UCCGCGCUGGCGAAACACAAACUCACGCAUAGCGAUGAGCGGAAGUACGUCUGCAUCACGUGCGCGAAAGCUUUCAAAAGACAGGACCAUCUCAAUGGCCACAUGCUGACCCACCGCAACAAGAAGCCGUACGAGUGCAAGGCAGACGGCUGCGGCAAGUCGUACUGCGACGCGCGCUCGCUGCGCCGGCACACCGAGAACCACCACCAGCCGCCGGCAGAGAACAGUUCAUCCAGCAGCAGCAGUGCGACCGCUCACGCCACCGAGAAGGAAUCCACCACGCAGCGGGUGGCGUCACCACCGUCGCCUGCGCAGAGA